AAACCAACAGGGAUUGCCUUAGUAGCGGCGAGUGAAGCGGCAAAAGCUCAAAUUUGAAAUCUGGCACUUUCAGUGUCCGAGUUGUAAUUUGAAGAAGGUAUCUUUGGGUCUGGCUCUUGUCUAUGUUUCUUGGAACAGAACGUCACAGAGGGUGAGAAUCCCGUGCGAUGAGAUGUCCCAGACCUAUGUAAAGUUCCUUCGAAGAGUCGAGUUGUUUGGGAAUGCAGCUCUAAGUGGGUGGUAAAUUCCAUCUAAAGCUAAAUAUUGGCGAGAGACCGAUAGCGAACAAGUACAGUGAUGGAAAGAUGAAAAGAACUUUGAAAAGAGAGUGAAAAAGUACGUGAAAUUGUUGAAAGGGAAGGGCUUGAGAUCAGACUUGGUAUUUUGUAUGUUACUCUCUCGGGGGUGGCCUCUACAGUUUACCGGGCCAGCAUCAGUUUGGGCGGUAGGACAAUUGCAAAGAAAUGUGGCACUGCCUCGGUAGUGUGUUAUAGUCUUUGUCGAUACUGCCAGCCUUGACUGAGGACUGCGGCUUCGGCCUAGGAUGUUGGCAUAAUGAUCUUAAGUCGC
rnacentral:rRNA from 1 species